CUUCGGAAAGACACUAAGCGGAUUAGUGGCGAACGGGUGAGUAACGCGUGAGUAACCUGCCUUACACAAGGGGAUAGCCUUUGGAAACGAAGAAUAAUACCCUAUAAAACCAUAAAAGCACAUGCAAUUAUGGUCAAAGUGAUAGCGGUGUAAGAUGGACUUGCGUCUGAUUAGCUAGUUGGUGAGAUAAAAGCUCACCAAGGCAACGAUCAGUAGCCGGCUUGAGAGAGUGUACGGCCACAUUGGGACUGAGACACGGCCCAGACUCCUACGGGAGGCAGCAGUGGGGAAUUUUGCACAAUGGGGGAAACCCUGAUGCAGCGACGCCGCGUGAUUUAGAAGGCCUUCGGGUUGUAAAAAUCUUUUGUAUAGGAAGAAAAUGACAGUACUAUACGAAUAAGGUCCGGCUAAUUACGUGCCAGCAGCCGCGGUAAUACGUAAGGACCGAGCGUUGUCCGGAAUCAUUGGGCGUAAAGGGUACGUAGGCGGCUAGAAAAGUUAGAAGUCAAAGGCUAUAGCUCAACUAUAGUAAGCUUCUAAAACUAUUUAGCUUGAGAAAUGGAAGGGAAAGUGGAAUUCCUAGUGUAGCGGUGGAAUGCGCAGAUAUUAGGAAGAAUACCGGUGGCGAAGGCGACUUUCUGGCCAUUAUCUGACGCUGAGGUACGAAAGCGUGGGUAGCAAACAGGAUUAGAUACCCUGGUAGUCCACGCCGUAAACGAUGAGUGUUAGGUGUCUGGAGUCAAAUCUGGGUGCCG
rnacentral:rRNA from 1 species